CCUACGGGAGGCAGCAGUAAGGAAUAUUGGUCAAUGGACGCAAGUCUGAACCAGCCAUGCCGCGUGAAGGAUUAAGGCCCUCUGGGUUGUAAACUUCUUUUAUAGGGGACGAAAAAAGGGCAUUCUUGCUCACUUGACGGUACCCUAGGAAUAAGCACCGGCUAACUCCGUGCCAGCAGCCGCGGUAAUACGGAGGGUGCAAGCGUUAUCCGGAUUUACUGGGUUUAAAGGGUGCGUAGGUGGGUUGGUAAGUCAGUGGUGAAAUCCUCGAGCUUAACUCGGAAACUGCCAUUGAUACUAUCAAUCUUGAAUCAUCUAGAGGUAAGCGGAAUAUGUCAUGUAGCGGUGAAAUGCUUAGAUAUGACAUAGAACACCAAUUGCGAAGGCAGCUUACUAUGGAUGUAUUGACACUGAGGCACGAAAGCGUGGGGAUCAAACAGGAUUAGAUACCCUGGUAGUCCACGCCCUAAACGAUGGAUACUCGACAUUUGUGAUAUACUAUAAGUGUCUGAGNGAAGANAUAGUAUACCACCUCGGAGACGACGCGAGUAGUAACGUACAAGAGUAGUAGACGNGNGAGAGACGACGACGACGACGACGGAGGGAGGAGG
rnacentral:rRNA from 1 species